rnacentral:rRNA from 2 species
UAAAGUUGUUGCAGUUAAAAAGCUCGUAGUUGGAUUUCUGGUGGGAGCACGGGUCGGCCCUCACGGGUUGUACUGUUGUUGCGUCCUGCCGUUUCGGAGGGAAUGGCCUCGCUAUUAAGUUAGCGUGGUCGGGAACUCUGUCGUUUACUGUGAAAAAAUUAGAGUGUUCAAAGCAGGCCUUCGCUGUGAAUACAUUAGCAUGGAAUAAUAAGAUAGGACUGUAGUGCUAUUUUGUUGGUUUGCGUACUAUGGUAAUGAUUAAUAGGGAUAGUUGGGGGUAUUCAUAUUCAAUUGUCUGAGGUGAAAUUCUUGGAUUUAUGGAAGAUGAACUACUGCGAAAGCAUUUACCAAGGAUGUUUUCAUUAAUCAAGAACGAAAGUUAGGGGAUCGAAGAUGAUUAGAUACCAUCGUAGUCUUAACCAUAAACUAUGCCGACUCGGGAUUGGCCGACGUUGAUCUAAUGACUCGGUCAGCACCGUAUGAGAAAUCAAAGUCUUUGGGUUCCGGGGGGAGUAUGGUCGCAAGGCUGAAACUUAAAGGAAUU